CAAAGCCGGAUCCCCGGGCGAUGCCUGGCCAGAAGCUCCCCUGCGGCCUAUUCCAUGACAGUGAACUAAGAUCAACGAAGCUACAAAAACAUAGCAAUUUCAGCCAGAAUAAAAAUGUACUGCCCUCCUUUUUUGAUACACAGAAACGUCUAUGCCUACCUAAGAACUUAGCACUUACAAGGGCCUAUAUUAGUUUUGUGGGGUUGCCAUCACAAAGAACCACACCUGAGUAGCUUAAACAGCAGAGGUCUCUGGUCUCACAGCUCUGGAGGCCAGAAGUACCACAUCGAGGUGUCAGGAGGGCUGUGCUCCCUCGGAAGUCUCUAGGGCAGACCCUGUUCCAGGCCUCUGUCCAGCUUCCCGUGGUUUGCUGGUGAUUUGGGGUGUUGCUUGGCACACAGAUGCAUCAUCCCAGUCUCUGGAUGAGAUAUAGAGGCUCAGAGAAGGAAUAUUAACCCAGCACCAAAGUCUCCUAGCUCUUCUGGGGCCAGGCCCGGGAAAGAGGUGAGAAUGGACAGUUGGCAGUGACUGCUGGCCCCAGUGACUCUUAUUUUCUUAGCCCCGAAUCACAUGUGUCAUCUGACCCACCGUUCCAGCACGUGUGGAACAUCCUGGACUCUUGGAUCUACUGCUGCAUCUUCUAGAGAGUGAGGUGUUCAGUUGCCCUCCUGAGAGCAGCGCCUCCCUCCCCACCCCGCUCAGCAGCCUGGCAUGAAGGCAGGGAAUGUGUACUGUACCCCCGGUGCCAGACGUGGGAGGCACCCAGAGUUGUGGAAUGAAUGAAUACAUUCACAGGCCCACAGGAGGAGUUCAAGAGCUCAAGUUGAGUUGAACAAGGACAUAACAUAAGCCCCCUGAACUGCUGCUAAUUCUCCCAGCAGAAGGAGAUGACUGUCGGAAACUAGGAGGUGCUUGGUGAUAAUGGAAUAAAGGUUUUCUCUCUGCAGGGCUGUCUGGACCACACAGGGGUCACACUUCGAUCUGAUCAUAACAUAGCUCCACCUGGACAAGCUGUUUCUCCCAACCCUCUUUCCAGCUUGAAUCACAUCAUUCCCUUUAAGAAUUUCCAUUCAUUUUAGUUUCCUGCUAAUUGACAUCUUCACUACAUAAAAUACUGGUAUAAAAAUACUGCGUACCAAGAUUUGAUACAACUAGCAAAUGUUCAUUGGUUUACAACAAACCCAAAAUACUCAUCAAAUAUGGGCUGUUGGAUUUAGAAAAAUAAGAUUCUUGAGCGAUUCCAGCUGCGUUCUUUGGGUAUGCAGCCUUCUAUCUGGAUCUCUGCAGGCCAGCCA
rnacentral:lncRNA from 1 species